AACCACACAACUCCACCGCCGCGCGAAUAAGGUGUGUGUAUAUAAAGAAAGCGUUUGGGAGUCAUGCGAUUUCCUUGUUUCUAUUCUCGCAUGUCUCCGUUGUUCUGGGUGCUUUCCACCUCUCUGUCUCAUUCCACGUGUGCGCGUGUGCGUGUCUGUGUGUGUGUGUGUGCAAGAUCCACCUAAGGACCUGCCACGACAACUAAAGGAGAGAUGAUUUUCGUGUUUUUUUUUCUUUCGCGCUUCCCUCUCGAUAUCCAACGCCGAUCAAAAAAAAAGCAAAAGAGGGCGUGAGGAUGGGCAAAAAGAAAUAAGCAAACGCAGUCCGUCCAUGACGACGACGACGGGGGGGGGUUGCACUGCGUGCGUAACAGCAGCAAGUACCUGACUGGACCUCGGAAGAAAAAACCACAACCGUCAAGGGAGGAGACAGCAAGAUAGGAAGGAACAGAUUGGUCGCUCCGCAUACCAAAUGGAGGUCACCGACUAGGAGGUGAGGCGGAUGAAAGAGUGACGUGCAACACGCUCGCAAAGCCCCCUUUUUUGUUUGAACAUUUACAGAAGCGCCGGGUCUGACUCUCUCUGCGUCCACGGCGUUGCGCACUUCACUCUUUUCACGAGAAGCGAAGAUCAGGCUCCCUCUCACAUCGAAAAAGGAAGCGGGUACGAACACACGCUCGCGCCUACGCGCAUUGGAAAAAGAAAGCAGCAGUGCGAGUGUGAGGAUGCGCCUUUUCUUUUUUUUUUCGAUGCAGGUGGUAGGAGAGCAGAAGGCGACUGUCGACUCCAAAUAAGAAAAAGUACGGCCCCCCACGCGUGUGAGGCUACCAUCGAAGGAGUCGAGGUGGUUCUCUCCUGCCCACUUCACCUCCCUGCCUCACAGGUAGGGAGGUGGAGAAAAACAGUGCUUGUCUGUGUCUGUGUGCGUCUUGCGGCGCAUCGCCUUUCUUUUUUUUUCCGUUUCCCGUUUGCACCGUGAAGUGUUGACAAGCUCUUUGUGACAUGCACAGGCAUACACGCGCGUUUAUUCAUCAGCCUCUCUAUCUCUGUCUGCGUUUCUGUUUUUUUUUUUUUUUAACAAGAGUUUUGUUUUAUGAUUUUGUUUUGUUUGAAAGACCUUCGUCUCUUUUCAUCGACCAUCUUUCGCUCUCACUAUGGGGUUGUGUUUUUGUGUGUGUGUACAUCUCGUUUUUAUUCCUCUGUGAGAUCGAGUAAAAAGCAACUAUCAUGUGCUGAAAUGAACAGAAUGGCAGAAACACAAAGAAAGCGUUCAAAAAAAGAAAAAAAGGUGCUCGAGUCCUUGAGCACGUGACCGUCUUCCGUAGAUUGGGGUGCGCGUGCGGUGCCGCGGGUGCCGCGGCUCCAUGUGCUACUUGAUAAGUGGGCAUGUGUGUGUGUAUGUGUGCUACUGCGUGUGCGCGGCAUUCACUCUUCCUCUCGAAGAGGAAUGGGGGAGAAAUACAGGGAGAAAUCGCGCCGCCUGUUGGCGUGCAAUGCGGCUGCGACUGUGCCAGUGAUGCGAAGACAGAGGCCGGAAGGAUCAGCGUCUGUGUGUGUCUUGCGUGAGACUCGGGAAAGAGAGUUACUGGUGCUGCGAACGUGAUCUCUCCUUUUUCGUCUCUCUCCUGCACCCGGGUGCGUGCCGGUGUACAUGGGUGUGAAGGAUUUUUAUUUUUCGCGCGAGCACCAUCCCCCCGCUCCAUGAUAUCCAGGUGCUGUUGGGUACACCAAGCACCGUCCUCUCCCCGAGGACCAUUGCACACUCGCUCACGUAGCCACACAUGCUAACGCCGCGGCCCUUAAAUACCCCUAACAGACGUACCCUAGAAGCAUCUUCCUUCUUUUCUCUUCAUUUUCACUGUUGUUCUGCGGUGCGAGUAG
rnacentral:misc_RNA from 1 species